rnacentral:tRNA from 1 species
GGGUGUAUAGCUCAGUGGUUAGAGUGCAAUGCUUAGCAAGCACAGGUCCUGGAUUCAAUCCCUGUACCUCCA